AGCAUAAUCGUUCUCCUGAUUAUUACUCCGUGGCUCUUUUACACCUCCAGUUGGUUGGUCAAUCAACAGCAAGCAGACUAUAAAUGAUAAAAGCAAAGUUUUGAAAAAUCUGUACUGCGGAAUUUGCACGCAGCAAAUACCCAAUGUGCAUGAAGCGUAUGAUCAUAACUACUUCCAAACUAUUGACAUAGAAAAUUGGCCCAUUGUGGAGAAUAUUGUGACCCUAAGUGAACCAUAUGAGAAGAAUCUUGAGCAAGAAAAUGAUAUAGAAUAUUUGGACGAAUACCAGAAGGUUCAGAUACAUGGCUUAUUCAAUCUAAAAGGCCACAAGCAAAGAAGAAGAAGAACCAGAAGGUUUGUUUUCAGAAGG